rnacentral:rRNA from 1 species
GAUGAACGCUGGCGGCGUGCCUAAUACAUGCAAGUCGAGCGAACGGACGAGAAGCUUGCUUUUCUGAUGUUAGCGGCGGACGGGUGAGUAACACGUGGAUAACCUACCUAUAAGACUGGGAUAACUUCGGGAAACCGGAGCUAAUACCGGAUAAUAUUUUGAACCGCAUGGUUCAAAAGUGAAAGACGGUCUUGCUGUCACUUAUAGAUGGAUCCGCGCUGCAUUAUCUAGUUGGUAAGGUAACGGCUUACCAAGGCAACGAUGCAUAUCCGACCUGAGAGGGUGAUAGGCCACACUGGAACUGAGACACGGUCCAGACUACUACGGUAGGCAGCAGUAGGGAAUCUUCCGCAAUGGGCGGGAGUAUGACGGAGCAACGCCGCGUGAGUGAUGAAGGUCCUCGGAUCGUAAAACUCUGUUAUUAGGGAAGAACAUAUGUGUAAGUAACUGUGCACAUCGUGACGGUACCUAAUAAGAAAGCAACGGCUAACUACGUG